CUCCAGAAACCCAUCAUCUGGGUUGAGCCAGGCUCUGUGAUCACCUCAGGGAAUCCUGUGACAAUCUGGUGUGAGGGAACCAUGGAAACCCAAAUAUAUUUCCUGUAUAAAGAAGGAAGCCCAGCACCCUGGGGCAGAUUGACUGCACCAAUGCCUGAUCACAGGGCCAAGUUUUUCAUCCCAUCCAUGAGAGCAUAUAAUGCAGGAUGAUACCGUUGUUACUGUUAUAACUCUGCUGGGUGGACACAGCACAGUGACACCUUGGAGAUGGUGGUGACAGGAACUGCUGAGAACAUCACUGUAUCACAAAACAUGUCCAAACCAAAGACAGACUCAGAGACACAGGAUCAUCACACAGUGGAGAAUCUGCUCAGAAUGGGGAUGGCAGGCUUUGUCUUUAUGGUCCUUGGAAUACUGGUGUUUGAGGCUUGUCACAGCAGUAGACAGAUUCAACAAAGAAAUAUACAGUGAAUGGGAGCUACAGCAACACAUCAUUUGCAGUGUCAGGGACUGGACACUAAAUAUGAGGAUUCGGGGUGGAUUUGCAAGAAAAUAAAGUGCUCAUGUUGGAGAAUUGACUAAGGGUCAAUGUGAAUUGAGUGCAAGGAAAAUAAAUAUCUGUUUAUUGGGAUGGAGAGUAUUUUCCCCACCAAUCAAAGUUAGUCCCUUACAUCUUACUGUAGACUUUUGCUGACCAAUGCUUCCUUUCUUCUCAUCUAAUGACAUGGGGGAACAUCCAGCACCAUCAACCAGGGUUCUCCCCUAAUCUUUGUACAUAUUCUGGUUUGUCUUACUUUCAUGUAACUUUCUAUUAUUUUAAAUUACUAUGUUCCCAUCAACAUUACAAAUUUCAGUUUCCUUUCUAUUGAGAGCAAAGUACUUCACUCAAUUACAAUAAACAUCAGCAGAAAUAAACCACCAGAAUAAAAAAUAAGUUACUUUA